rnacentral:rRNA from 1 species
CCUACGGGGGACAGCAGUGAGGAAUAUUGGUCAAUGGCCGAGAGGCUGAACCAGCCAAGUCGCGUGAGGGAAGACGGCCCUACGGGUUGUAAACCUCUUUUGUCGGGGAGCAAAGCGAGUCACGUGUGACUCCUUGAGAGUACCCGACGAAAAAGCGUCAGCUAACUCCGUGCCAGCAGCCGCGGUAAUACGGAGGAUGCGAGCGUUAUCCGGAUUCAUUGGGUUUAAAGGGUGCGUAGGUGGUUUUAUAAGUUAGCUGUGAAAUACCGAUGCUCAACAUCGGGGCUGCCGCUGAUACUGGAGGACUAGAGAGCGGAUGAGGCAGGUGGAAUGCGAAGUGUAGCGGUGAAAUGCAUAGAUAUUAGACAGAACACCGAUUGCGAAGGCAGCCUGCUAGGCCGGAUCUGACACUGAUGCACGAAAGCGUGGGGAGCGAACAGGAUUAGAUACCCGGGUAGUC